GUGCUCGCUUCGGCAGCACAUAUACUAAAAUUGGAACGAUACAGAGAAGAUUAGCAUGGCCCCUGCGAAAUACGUGGGACUGAAAUGUUAUAUGCAAUUACGAAUAUUU
rnacentral:snRNA from 1 species